GCCAGCAUAGCACAGUGGUUUGAGUGUUGGACCACGACUCUGAAGACCAGGGUUCAAUUCCCUGUUCAGGCA